GUUUUUCCGUGAGUGAAAGCAUAACCUGUGUGCAGAAAUGGCGUUGUAGGUUUGUUGUGAUUUUAGUUAUUUGUUUAUUGUGAAAGAGUCGUGUUGAAGUGCGUUAUUUCGUUUCCUUAGUUUAUUGGACUAGAGACUGAAACAGUUAAGACACAAUCUAAAAUCAGUGCAAUACUACACCCCAGUCACAUGGUGGAGCGUGUAAUCUGCUGCUUCAGCUAAGAGGCAGUUGAAUGGCUGUUGACACCGGUUUCAGUGAUAGCUGACGGAGAGUCAAAAUAUCCUGAACUAAAGGGGAUUCCUCAGAUUCAAUCUGCUCAUUGGAUUCGGAAAAAUAGCUGACUGUGUUCUGGUGUAGCAAGCAGAGUGGGCUGCAAGGCGAUUCUGGUUCAGAAUUUGAAAAGAGAGAUCCCUCCAACGGACAUCGAGUCCGUCCCGUCUCGUCUUCUAUUCCUGAGAUGAAGCAGAUGAUCAUGAAGAAGAGGAUAGGAACAAUGUUGUACUCAAAACUGGUCCAAUUGUCUA